UACGAGUGCCCCAAGCGUUAUCCGGAAUCACUGGGCGUAAAGCGUGUGUAGGUGGUUGUAUUAGUCUUUUGUUAAAUUCUUCGGCUUAACCGGGGACAUGCGAAGGAAACGGUACAACUAGAGGAUGCAAGGGGUUGACGGAACUCAUGGAGUAGGGGUGAAAUCCGUUGAUAUCAUGGGGAACACCAAAAGCGAAGGCAGUCAACUGGUGCACUCCUGACACUGAAACACGAAAGCGUAGGUAGCGAAUGGG
rnacentral:rRNA from 1 species